CCAAUUAUAGCCUGGUCAUUUCUGUGUCAGAGGGCAAACGGACAAAAUCAGCAGGGGAUCAAAUACUUAUUUCCCUUACUGUAUACUAUGGUCGAUAGUAUCAAAAACCGCCGAGAGGUCCAAAAGGACCAACAGAGUCACACUUCCUCUGUCAAUUGCCAAUUGGAGAUUGGAGAGAUGGUUCCGCUUGAAACCCUGAUUCUGGGUCAGGGUUUUGUACGUAGCAGAGCAGCUCCCUCGCUGCGAUCUAUUGAAAGUCAGCCCUCGACACAGGUUAGUUUUACCCUACUGAUGAUGUGUUGUUGCAAUAGUAAUCUUGCUCAGUACGAGAGGAACAUACUGUAUCAAUUGGAGAGAUGGUUCCGCUUUCCUCAGCUUGCCUCCCCCUCCAGGGAGGCAGCGCUGCCUGCAAUCUACCACGCUGAGGUUUGCUUUCAUGGCCCCGUUGAGUCGUCGGCAAUUUGGUUUCAGCCUCUGCUAAACAACUUAGUAUUGACACCUCCGUGGCCAGAUGCCAGCCUGUCUGGGCCAUGAGCCGCCGGGAUGGUGUCUGGGCCAAGUGGACUAGCAGAGUGGCAGCAGCUGAUUGCCUUGAGCUAGCAGGUGCCUUGCUGCUGUUCUUGCAAAGGGGUCCAGGGGCCCUUUGUAGCCAGCCUUGCCCCAGGCAGCAGCUGGAGCCUGGCUUCCUUCCCUGUGUUUUCUUGGGGGUUGAAAGCAGGGGCAGGCAGGACAUUUCCCAGGAAUGGCUGCAAAUCCUUUACAUUGAGGUCAGCCUACCAGAUGACAGGGACCUCCUCAUAGAUCGCCCAUAGAAGCCUCUCUUUUACAUCAGUGAUGUGCUGAAUUUAUUUUAUUUUUAAAAAUAAUAGCACACCUAAUCAAAGAGUGCUUCCCCAAGGUGGUCUCCGAUGCUAUUUAAAACAGCAUCAUGAGACAACCACCACCAUUGUAGACUGAAUAAAACAGCCUUGCAUGUUAUCAGCAGAAAAAUCACCUUGGAAUGCCUCCUAAGCCUGAGUAAGCAGAGACACCUUGAGUCGGCAACAGAAAGUCAGUUGGGAUGGAGACUGGUGGUGGGCGCUCCACGACGGGGCAAGCACUGAGAAAGCCCUUGUGCAGCUAUUUGCAUGUGACCUCCCCCCCCCCCGGUCAAAUUUUAGAUUGUUAGAUUGGGGCAUGAACCUGAUUUUUUGCUGUUGCACUUUAAAGUUAACACUCAUGGUCCUGUGUCAACAACCACCUCGCUCUCCCUCCCCCCCCCCGUUCCUGAGUUAACAGAUCUUGUUUCCUCGUCUGAUUUACACAAUGGCGGCCUCACGACCCCUCUCUUCGCAGGCCCCUGCCCACUAUCUAUCCCCCACCCUCUUUAUCCCUCCUCUACAAUCAAGAACAUCCUUCGACUGGUAACAGUUGCAUUCCAAGUGACCUUAACCAUCACAGGCUCCUCCCCCCCCCCAUAUGCAGAUGUCCCCCUAUAUGCAGAUCUCCACUGCCCAAUCACCAUGAUGUUUCUGCUCACAAACUCUCAUGAGAGCUGCAACACGUGAUUAGCCACGGGUACACCUUAAAGAAUUCUAUAGAUAGGAUGAAAUACACCUACCAUUUAUUGCUUUCUAAACUUGAAUGCACAGAAUCAUUUAUUAAAGUUGUCCACAAAGGUUGCAGGCCCCCAUGCAGCUGUGGAACGGGUAUGUGGGUCAAAGAGCAGAUGACCACCAGGGGGCAUCAUUGAAGCUUCCAUGGCUUCAUCAGUGGCAGUAGCAGCUUCCUGGAGGGAUUUCCAUCUUGAGCUAAGCUUAAGGGCACCUGCUCCUUGGGCUGGAAGGAGACCUGAGGACAGGUGUGGUCCACAGAAGAGGAUCUUCCUGGGUCCAGAACCUCAGUGUCCUGCUGGAACAGACCUGUCUUCUGCUUCCGCCUGUGGCCUGUGGGGGAGCAGGUGCAACCAGAGCACAAAGGCAGUUGCUCUCCCUUGAUGCUUGCCCCCAGCCAGUUGUAUCCAGAACUAGACUGCCUCUUUACAUGGAGGUUCUAUUUAGCUAACAUGACUAAUACAGCUGUUGAAAGACCUGUGCUUCUAGAACUGGGCUUGGUUGUGCAGAAAGCUCUCUGCAGAAGCAAGGUUUCUCAGCUUGGAUGUACGUGCCUGCCCUCAUGGGGCUGGAUGGCCAAGGCUGUGGCUUCCACCUGCUGUCUUCUCUGCCAUACGUUGUCGAUAGGCUCCCAGCAUGUGAGUGGGCGACAAAGUGGCAGAUGCGCUUCAAUGUUGGCCAGUGUCAGUUGAUGCACAUUGGGACGAAAAACCUCAAAUUCACAUAUAUGCUGAGGGGAUCUGAGCUGUUGGUGACUGACCAGGAGAGGGAUCUUGGGGUGGUGGUGGACAGCCUAUUGAAAGUGUCGACUCAGUGUGAGGCAGCUGUGAAAAAGGCCAAUUCCAUGCUAGGGAUCAUUAGGAAGGGGAUUGAAAAUAAAACAGCUAACAUUAUAAUGCCUUUGUACAAAACUAUGGUGCGGCCACACCUGGAGUACUGCGUACAAUUCUGGCCAUCACAUCUAAAAAAGGACAUUGUAGAACUGGAGAAGGUGCAGAAGAGGGCAACCAAGAUGAUCAGGGGCCUAGAGCACCUUUCUUAUGAGGCAAGGCUACAACACCUGGUGCUUUUUAGUUUAGAAAAAAGACGAUGACUGUGGGGAGACAUGAUCGAGGUCUAUAAAAUCAUGCAUGGUGUGGAGAAAGUGGGGAGAGAGAAAUUCUUCUCCCUCUCCCAUCACACUAGAACCAGGGGUCAUCCCAUGAAAUUGAUUGCUGGGAAAUCUAGGACCAGCAAACAGAAGUAUUUUUUCACACAACGCAUAAUCAACUUGUGGAAUUCUCUGCCACAAGAUGUGGUGACAGCCAACAACCUGGAUGGCUUGAAGAGGGGUUUGGAUAGCUUCAUGGAGGAGAGGUCUAUCAACGGCUACUAGUCGGAGGGCUGUAGGCCAUCUCCAGCCUCGGGGGCGGGAUGCCUCUGGGUACCAGUUGCGGGGGAGUAACAGCAGGAGAGAGGGCAUGCCCUCAACUCCUGCCUGUGGCUUCCAGCAGCAUCUGGUGGGUCACUGUGAAACGGGAUGUUGGACUAGAUGGGCCUUGGGCCUGAUUCACCAGGGCUGUUCUUAUGGGUGAGGGCAUGCGCGCUCUCCUGCUGUUGCUCCCCUGCAACUGGUACUCGGAGGCAUCCUGCCUCUGAGGCUGGAGGGGGCCAGUGUUCUAUCUAUUUUUUUUUUUUCAUCUGUGUGCAGAAUGAAUUUUGUUCUGGGUGGCAGGAUCAAGGCAGUGUGUCCACACCAUGUGCAUUCAGAAUGGGGCCUUCCUGAUUCCACUUGAGCCAGAUCUAAAAUUAACUGUGCAGACAUCAAAAAACAUAUUCACAUACACAUGGAACCGAAGGAGGACUUACAUACACUGGUGAUGCCUUGCAGCUCGCGACUAACUCAGAUGGACACUUAUCUCCUUAUGGCUGUCUUGACCUGCAUGUAUGUAUGUAUGUAACCUCCCCCUUUGGGAACGUGAUCUAUAACAUAUCUGCAUGCUAAAUGAACCAUGCCAGCACAGCGGCUGACCACGCCAGGAACGCCUGCUGACAACACCCCUGGAGGACUCCCUGGACCUGGAGAAGACCCUCUGCCGUCAAGGAGCCUUGCCCAGAGGCUGCAAUGGGCAGAAGAAGACUGGCACGGCCCUGCUGGCCACAUGCAAGGUGAGGCUGGGAUCUGUCCCUCCCUUGGACCUUUUGGACAUUCCUCUCACUGAACUCUUUUAACCGGACUCUACCCAAACCCGUAGGAACCCGCGUACAUUGCUAUAUUCUCUCUACCAUUGCAACCACACAUUUGAAAGUACGCGGUCGUGUUUUAUCGGGAAAUUCUAUUCACUGUUGCUUUUGUAAACCAUAUGUUAAACCUUCUCUAAUAAAAGUCAGUCUUCUGUGGGCCCUA